CAGGGGCCGCUGAUGGGUCACUCCAGAGGGAGAGGGGCUGGCACAGGUCAGCAGCACUGCAGAGGCUCCAGCAUUCCCUCCUGCAGGCCAGAACAGAAGGUGGAAGCCAAGGUAGAGCCCCAGCAGCCCUGGGAGUGGUGGCAGAAGCGAGCUGCACCUGGACAGAUUGGCACAGGCAUCGCCCAGCCCUGCGGCACAGCCCAGAAUACAUUUCAAAUAAACAUAUAAAGGACCUGUUAUUGAC
rnacentral:lncRNA from 1 species